GGGAGCCGUAUGCGGGAAAUCCGCACGUACGGUUCUGAGAGGGGUUAGGGAAGUGAUUCCCUAGUCUAC
rfam:Clostridium beijerinckii NCIMB 8052, complete genome.